ACUUAGCCUUGUCCCUACCUCUUUACUCCUCUGUAGGCAGUAAUUCUUUUUUCUUUUCUUUCUUUUUUUUUUCUUUUGGUGUAACAGUAUCGCAUGAGCCAAGACUGUCAUGAAACUAUUUGGAUACUGUACUCUGGUUCCUUCAUCUCCUCCAUCUGCAUCAGCCUAAAUUGUCCUAGACCCUAAUGAAGAGGUUUAUCUGAUUGGUUUACUGGAGUCCUAUGUGGGAUGAAUAGCUUCAGCCUUUGCGCUUGCACCUCUUUGCUGUCCACUCCAAUCAAGAACGGGGGCCCUCGCAACUCUCUCAGUUCUGAAACAAAUUAAAUCUCAGUGACAGACU
rnacentral:lncRNA from 1 species